GUUUCUUGUAAGCUGACUGCUAAAAUCAUUAAGGCUUCCUGGAAUAACAGCAUAUUCCCUUGUGCUUUAGCUAGACCUGUCAACAGCAGGAGCCCUGAGGAAUCUCCCGUACUUGCUGGUUACCACUCGUCUUCAGGGUCCUUACAUCAUGUCGCAAUACUUGUCCCUAAGCCAAGCACAGCUGGCAGUACUUCCUCUGGAGCCCACCAGGACUGCUCCUGAAACGACCCCACAGCUGCAGGGGGCAGAUGGGCAGCUGCACUGCAUGAGAAACAUUGGCCAGAAGACUCUCUUGGAAGAUUAUGUUUACGAACUGAAAGAAAAAACAUCAUAGCAACCCUUCCAGUAGACCUCCUGGAUAUUUGACUGGUGCUAAGCAGUCAUGUGUUGCUCUCCUGAAGCACAAGCUCUGGAUGAAGAUACAGAAGAAUGAUGGAACCAACCUUGCAAACACUUUUCAGAACAAUUUGGAUCCACUACUA
ensembl:lncRNA